rnacentral:lncRNA from 1 species
CAGCGGACUGUGAAAAUAUCACACUACGUGAGGCAGGCGCCGCCUCCCCAUAAAAAACCCAGAAGGGUGACUGGCAGGAGGGAGGGGAGAGGAGGAGGAGGAGGAGGGAGGAAGGCGCAGGAGGCGGAAAAAAUCCGCUCCGAGUGUCCGGCUUUUUGAAUGAGCCACGUGUUCAAACUACAAAUCAACGUCUCACGUGAGGAAUCCCAGAGCCUCAAUUAGAGUGGGUUUCGGAGAAAAAAGCGAGCGAGAGGAAGAGGGGGAGGGGAAACGAGAUUGGGAGAGGGACUCUGAGAAGGGGGAGGAGGAAGAAGGAAAAUGCUAAAGGAACCGCAGCCGGCACCAAGCGGGGCGCUGACGGUCACAACUCGAGUUUGUAAAGGGUUAUCUGGUCUGGGCGGAUCCUGGGAGGGAGGGCUGGAAUAUUGAUUUUUUUUUUUUUAAUGAGGAAAUGGGCAGAGGUACUAACAGGCAGUUCCUCAGCGCUAGUUACCGUAGUUUUAAUCAUUCGAUUUUUCAAAAUAGGUUAUUAACAACAAAACCAGAGUCACAAUCCCGAACUCGCCUGGUGGCUUUAAUGGCAUUAGAAGUGUAACCCCAGCAAAGCCGCAGGUUUUUCUUUCCUGCCAAGCGAAUCCAACAUUUUAAACGUAAACACACUUUCACAAUAAUUUCAUUCACGUUUAAUUUAAUAAAAUGUUGUUACUUUAUAAAAUAGGGGGACAGACGUGUUUUUCUGUUACAGUAUUUGUAACUGAAUUAAGAGCUCAGCCUUGAAAGAACGUUUUGGUAAAAUUUUUCUUUAAGUUUAUGGUUAGGUUGAACUUUUUAAAAGCAUUUUUUUCUUUUUUUAAAAAUAACUUUAGUUCUAAAGAAGAAAUGUAUUCUUUCUUUUGGCCUCUGUGGUAUGCAAAAUGUAAAUAUCAAAAAUUAUGGAUUUAUUUUAAAUGUACCUGUUGUAGAACAAAAGCCAUUUGGAGAAAUGUUCUACAUUCAUUCAUUUGGUAAUAUUUGCACUUCUCAAUACCACUGUAAAUUUUACAACCUGUUGAUCAUUUAACACUUUUAGUAAUUUUUCAUAAAAACAAAUUGUGUGUGUUCAGCUUGCUUCCAAAAUCAAUUCAACUAUGGCUUCUGGGUUGACUGUAUUUGCUCUUAUUAAAACUGAGACCUAAGGAAAUAUCUACUUCUAAAGCAUGGAAUAAAUUGUUUAUUUUCCAUAAAUACUAGUCCAUGCUUGUCUGGCACUAUCAAACAAAUCUAACAGCUGGAAUUUAAAACAAGUGUGUGUUUUGAUGAAAUAUGUUCCUGGGACUCCUGUUAACCUAAUCUGUGUAUUAUUGUAACAAACUGGAUAGUCCAUCUAGGACCUUAAAAACAUACAUGAGUAAUACAAGCUCAGACAUCAAAGAGAGAGGUGGAUACAGUCCACUCCACUUCCAGUCUUCCAAGCAUUUAAGGGUUGAGUCAAAAGAUCUUAGGUAGUUGUCUUGCACUAGCACUUCAAGUACAAAGAUACCUUUGGUGAAUUUUCAAGAAUGAAUAUAAAAUCAAUUUAAGUUCCAGUUUUUUUUUUUUAAUGACUCUCACACAAAUCAACUGGUUAUAGGCUACUUCAGCUUCUUCCUGAAGCAGUUGUAGCUCCUAAUUAAUGUGAACUCCACGAAGAAAGAACUCCCACCAUUUUAUGUGCUCUGGGAUGCGGCUGAGUCUUUCCAAUUGCAGUCUGUUUACUCUUUGGACAGCUGCAUCUCCUCCUUAUCUGCUGAACUGAGGACUGUACAAAUGUUUCUUGUGGGUCAGUGUAAUAUUAAAGAAUAGCUAUGUUUAGAAGGCCAGUUACCGUUGCUGUACCCACACGUCAGGGGCAAAGGCUGAGUGGGCAGAUGGGGGGCUGCCACCCCUCCUCACGCCCGGCUUGGGACCAGCCUGGAGUCUCAAGCCGAAACCCCUCACGCGGGUGGGCACACAAUGCCCGGCGUGUCGCCUGGGCCUCCUCGGAGGUGCUUUAACAGGCUCUUGCGCUUUUGAACGGCCCUCCUGGACUCUGAUCUGUUUAAACUAGAGGCGUUAAUAAGUGAUAACCUGGAUCUGCCCUCCUUGG